rnacentral:lncRNA from 1 species
CAGAUCCCUGAUAAGUUCCAUGCGGCAGCAAUUGUUGAUCUUCUUGACCUGAGGUUCCAAACCCUCUGCAUACAGUCGCUUAGGUAGCUCUAACUCCAUAUCUACAAAAGACAAAGAAAUGAUUUAGUGAAACGAAGUACGAAAUAAACUGAAACCAUAAGUCAGAAACAUAAUUAGUUAAGCAAACUAAGACAAUUCAGAAACGAAAUCAGUUUCACAAAUCAGGUAAGCUCGUCUCUUUUAGUUUUACAGAACAACUCGAUUCAAGUCAAAGAAACAAACUUUGCAGUGAAACAGAGACAAACAAAAAACAAAUAACCAAAUUCGCAAGUCAGAAACACAAAGACUAUCAUCAUGUUCAAUAACAAAAUCAAUUUAAAAACCCAUGCCAAACGAAAUCAAUUCACAAAAAUCAAAC